rnacentral:rRNA from 1 species
GAUGAACGCUGACAGAAUGCUUAACACAUGCAAGUCUACUUGAUUCUACUUCGGUAGUUGAUGGUGGCGGACGGGUGUGUAACGCGUAAAGAAUCUGCCCUUUAGUUUGGGAUAACCUUUGGAAACGAAGGCUAAUACCGGAUAUUAUGGAGACGUCGCAUGGCGACUCCAUGAAAGCUAUAUGCGCUAGAGGAGGACUUUGCGUCCCAUUAGUUAGUUGGUGAGGUAAUGGCUCACCAAGGCCGCGAUGGGUAGCCGGCCUGAGAGGGUGAUCGGCCACAAGGGAACUGAGACACGGUCCUUACUCCUACGGGAGGCAGCAGUGGGGAAUAUUGGACAAUGGGCCACAAGCCUGAUCCAGCAAUUCUGUGUGCACGAUGAAGGUCUUCGGAUUGUAAAGUGCUUUCAGUAGGGAAGAAAAAAAUGACGGUACCUACAGAAGAAGCGACGGCUAAAUAUGUGCCAGCCGCCGCGGUAA